AGGGAUAUAGUUAAAUAUAACAUUUGAUUUGCAUUCAAAAGGUAUUGAACUUAUUCAAUUUUCCUUA
rnacentral:tRNA from 1 species